AAAACAUGUCUUCUUGUUAAUUUAUUUGAAGUUUAACCUGCCCAAUGAAAAUUAAUUUUAAUGGCCGCAGUAUUUUAACUGUGCUAAGGUAGCAUAAUCAAUUGUCUUUUAAUUGAAGGCUUGUAUGAAAGGUUGAAUGAAACAUAUACUUUCUUUAUAUUGUAAUUUUGAAUUUAAUUUGUUAGUUAAAAGGCUAACAUUUUUUUAUGGGACGAGAAGACCCUAUAGAUCUUUAUAUUAAUAGUUUAUAUUUAAAUUGUUUUAUUAAUUUAAUAAAAGUUAUUAAUAUUUAAUUGGGGUGAUUUAGGAAUUUUAUUAACUUCUAGUUUUUAUUUCAUUAAUAUAUGUUUAAUUGAUCCAAUUUUAUUGAUUUUAAGAUUAAGUUACCUUAGGGAUAACAGCGUAAUUUCUUCGGAGAGUUCAUAUUGAUGAAGGAGAUUGCGACCUCGAUGUUGGAUUAAAAUAAGUUUUAGGCGUAGAAGUUGAAUUACUAGGUCUGUUCGACCUUUAAUAUUUUACAUGAUCUGAGUUCAAACCGG
rnacentral:rRNA from 1 species